UCUGCAUCUUCGAAAACAUUCUCUUUUCCAUCGCCAUGUUGAUUUUCGAAAUCACUGUUCGUGAAGCGUUGAAACCUGAGACUAUAUAUUUAUUUAUAUUAAAAAGUGCGCUUCAGAAACUUAGAGCUGGUCGACUGUAUCACUACCAUAUACUGGUUCAUUCAAAUUGUUGCUAUAUCAUUCAUGUUGUCAAACUGCGCAUGUGUAAGGUUUCUCUAAUGACUUAUUAUUAGACUCAAAAAUUGUUUCUCUCAUUUAAAAUGCAGAAUUGAUAUAACAGGUAGCAAUUUUUCAUUAAGACAGUCUUUUCGGAUAUAUGUAUUUUCAAUGAGUAAAUCGAAGAAUAUAGUCGAUUCUGGUAUUUUAUGUUAGAGGCCAUUAGACGAAAGAAAUUCAGGAUAGAGUAUUGACAGCACCUUUUUUUUUCCUGCUUGAGGAGAAACAGGAGAGAUAGAGAUAUUUUUAUCACCUCAUGGUUCUCAAAACAACACGUUGCCAUAUUUGGAAAAUCUUAAAGUUAUAGAAUUACAGAAAAUUUGGUGAGUCAAUAUGAAGUUAUUAAAAUUUCAUUUCGUGUAUUAUCUUUGAUUAAAAAUGGUUUGUAAAUGUGGAGCUUGUGGAAAUGAUAGGAAUUCUAGUCGGAAUUUAUCGUUCCAUAGCUAAGUGUAUUGUUAAAACAGAUGUAUCAAGUUGUUUAUAUUUUCAGUGGCGCAGAAACUGUUAAUGAGGAAGCUCUCAAUGUUUAACAAAAAAUUAUGAUUUUUUUAAUUUGGGUUCCUUGAUAACGAUGAAGGGAGACGAAUUUGGGCUUCCUUGCUGGGAUAGUUGGGUAAAAAAUAAGAAAAUAAUUUUCAUUUGUUUAGAUCAUUUCGAUCCUAAUGAGUUCCAAACGAGAACAAAUGGGAAAAGAUUCAUCAAACAAGAUGCCAAUACAUUAACUUUACAUUCUCUAUUUGAAAAUUCUAGUAUUAGGUAAUUACAAUCUUUAACUGCAAUAGAUAAGCGCUUAUAACUACAUAACAUGCUUUAAGCUCUACCUAUAUUCAAAAUGUUUCAGUGAUAACUCCCCAAAGACGGAAAGCAGUCUAAGUGAACAAGAUAAAUAAGUUAUUAUGAUCUCUACAAUAUUUUAUUGAAAUCUCACUUCAAAUUAAUUGAUUUGCUACUGGAAAUUCUUCAAUUGAGAACUUUUGUUGUGUGUGACCAGUGAAUAUAUUAUCAAAUAAUUGUGGCAUUUUGGAUGUAAUAUUCCUUAAUCAUUCUGAAUUUUCUAGAACAUUGUGUGCAUCAAGUCAUAAUCCUGAUGAGAGUGAACUGGAGCAGAGAAAUUCUCCAUUCACACUCUCAACAUCAGAAUGUGAAAAUCAAGCAAGCAAGGUGGAGUUCCUUGAACCGAAUACGGAUAAAAUGCCCACUUAGAAGAGAAAUUGGGAAUACAUUGGCGAUUUGUCUAAUAGCGACUUCUCAACUCCAGAGAAGAGAAAGAGGAAUCUUCACAUUUUCUAGGCUUCACUUUAUCAUCUCUGAUGUUGAGUUAUGUCUCAACAAAGGACAAAAUUACGUUUCCUAAGAAUAAAAGUAAAACGACAGAAACGCAGAAUCAGCAAGCAAUACUAGCAUCAGAACCUGAAAUAGCAGGACAUAUUUUGAAACGGAUGAUGAAAGUACAAAGCAGGCAAAAAUUCGAACCAAGUUUAAGAACAUUUGCUCUGACACUGGCUUUUUAUUCUCCUAAAUCUUAUAAUUAUGUAAGGAGAACGUUCAAUGGGCGUUUUCCACAUUUGGGAACAAUUUCUUAAUGGUAUCAAGCUGUCGAUGGAAGUCCAGUGUUUACUCAACUGAAAGGACUGAGCUAGUUAAGAAAUGUCUAAAAUUUAUCAGUGAAAGUGGAAUUAUUAUAACUUCCCUUACUUUUGAUGGCACCGCAACAAAUAUCUCUAUGGCAGAGAAAUUGGAUGUGAAUUUCACUCCAUUUUGAAAACUUGUUUGUAAACCCAAUAUCAAUAAAUAUUCUCAUUUUUUUAGAUUGCUGUCACAUGUUAAAAUUAGUCAGAAAUUCUUUUGCUUCACAAAGUGUCAUAAAAGAUUUUUAUCGAAGAAGCAUAGAGUGGAAUUAUGUUUCUAAAUUAUGAAAUAGUUGAAAUUCAGAAUGAAUAAUAAAUAAAAAAAUGAAGGUCAUGGUACCAGGUUGAGCAUCGUUAGGGUGAGCUCUCGAUAGUAUCUGUAAUUAAAGUGGUAAAAUUGACUACAAGAAUUCAGAUCUUAAUGUCAUAGUGUAUAUUUAUCAGUGGACAUCGCGAUAAUUAAUUUGAUGAGCAUUUGAUGCCCUAUUGCCAGAUAAUGGUGAAUGGAAAUAGUACUAAGUAAGUUCAAAAACGAGUCAGAAAACAAGAAGUUAUUCUAAUUCUGUUGCAAUUGAUGGGGGGGUGGGGAACUUCUAACCAAUAAAUGAUUUACAAGAGUGAACCUCAAUAUUGAAGGAAAAAUAGACAAAAUAUGUAUAAAGUUCGGUAAAUUGGAUACCAAGAUGGAAAAUAUGAUAAAUUAAAUGUCUUCAGUAAGUAGUAGGUACUUGAAAUUUCGGAGCAGGAUAGCAGGUAAAAUUCACUGAUUUGAGCAGGACUCAAAGAUUGUUUAAUGUUCCAUGAUGGUAUGAAAAUCAAUCGAAUCUCAUUGAUUCAGAUGUCGCGUAAUCCCCUCAUAGUGCUGUUUACGUGUUAUUGACGCUUAAAAAACACAUGCACUUAUCAGGCUUUUCGGCGUUCGCUUUGCUGAACGUUGCCGAAAUUUAUUGCCACUUGGGUCGGCUUCUGGAUUAUUUUUCUUUUCAAUUUCCCUAUUAUUUUGUUGAUUCCUCACAAUGCAAAAUAUACGAGAAACGAUUUCAAUUCACCAUUUUCAACUCACCCUUUUUAAGAAAUAUAAGAUGUUUUAUUAUUUCAUACCGAAUUCCAUUAUAUUUUUCAAUAUUUAUAUCAAAUUAACUAAUGUUGGACGUGGGCGCAUCCGAAUUUAAAGUAGUGGUU